rnacentral:rRNA from 1 species
UACGAAGGACCCAAGCGCUAUCCGGAUUUAUUGGGUUUAAAGGGUGCGUAGGCGGAUUAUUAAGUCAGUGGUGAAAGCCUACAGCUUAACAGUAGAAUUGCCAUUGAUACUGAUGAUCUUGAGUAAGAUUGAGGUGGGCGGAAUGUGUCAUGUAGCGGUGAAAUGCUUAGAUAUGACACAGAACACCGAUUGCGAAGGCAGCUCACUAAGUCUUAACUGACGCUGAUGCACGAAAGCGUGGGGAGCAAACAGG